UACGAGUGCCUCAAGCGUUAUCCGGAAUUAUUGGGCGUAAAGGGCGCGUAGGCGGUUUGACAAGUCUGAUGUGAAAUCUAUGGGCUCAACCCAUAGCCUGCAUUAGAAACUGUCGGGCUUGAGUAUGGGAGAGGUGAGUGGAAUUUCCGGUGUAGCGGUGAAAUGCGUAGAUAUCGGAAGGAACACCUGUGGCGAAAGCGGCUCACUGGACCAUAACUGACGCUGAGGCGCGAAAGCUAGGGGAGCAAACAGG
rnacentral:rRNA from 1 species